AAACAAGUAAGUUAAGCGCAUCUGGUGAAUGCCUUGGCGAUCAGAGGCGAUGAAGGACGUGGUACGCUGCGAAAAGCUACGGUCAGGCGCGAACAGCCGUUGACCCGUAGAUCUCCGAAUGGGGAAACCCACCUUAUCACUUGUUUUCAGUGUUCAGUUGUAUUACUGACACUGAAUAAUGAUAACAGGUGAUGUAUAGGUAUUAUUAUCUGAAUACAUAGGAUAAUAAAGCAAACGCGGGGAAUUGAAACAUCUUAGUACCCGUAGGAAAGGAAAUCAACCGAGACUCCGAAAGUAGUGGCGAGCGAAAUCGGACCAGCCCAAUGGUGUCUGUGUAAUAAUUAGAAUCUUCUGGAAAGUAGAGCCAAAGUAGGUGAUAGCCCUGUAUAAGUAAAAAGCAUAGACAUCUUCGAGUAGAGCGGGACACGAGUAAUCCUGUUUGAAUAUGGGGGGCCCAUCCUCCAAGGCUAAGUACUCCUGAUCGACCGAUAGUGAACUAGUACCGUGAGGGAAAGGUGAAAAGAACCCCGAUAAGGGGAGUGAAACAGACCUGAAACCGGAUGCGUACAAGCAGUAGGAGCACCUUUAUGGUGUGACUGCGUACCUUUUGUAUAAUGGGUCAGCGAGUUAGUCUAUCAUGCAAGCUUAAGCCGAUAGGUGUAGGCGCAGCGAAAGCGAGUCUGAAUAGGGCGUAUAGUAUGAUGGAUUAGACCCGAAACCCGGUGAUCUAGGCAUGGCCAGGUUGAAGGUUGGGUAACACCAACUGAAGGACCGAACCCAUAUCUGUUGAAAAAGAUUGGGAUGAGCUGUGCCUAGGGGUGAAAGGCCAAUCAAACCGGGUUAUAGCUGGUUCUCCGCGAAAUCUAUUUAGGUAGAGCGUCAUGCGAAUACCUUGGGGGGUAGAGCACUGGAUGGACUAGGGGGGCGCGAGCCUUACCAAAUCUAACCAAACUCCGAAUACCCAAGAGUACUACAUGGCAGACACACGGCGGGUGAUAACGUCCGUCGUGGAGAGGGAAACAACCCAGACCUACAGCUAAGGUCCCAAAAUCAUAGUUAAGUGUAAAAGGAAGUAAGAGGUCCAAGACAAUCAGGAGGUUGGCUUAGAAGCAGCCAUCCUUUAAAGAAAGCGUAAUAGCUCACUGAUCUAAAUAAGACCUCUCGCGCCGAAGAUGUAACGGGGCUAAAACUAUGUACCGAAGCUUAGGAUGUGCAUUUAUGCACGUGGUAGCGGAGCAUUCUGUAAGCCUGCGAAGGGUAUCCGUGAGGAUGCCUGGAGGUAUCAGAAGAGAGAAUGCUGACAUGAGUAGCGAUAAGAAGUGUGAGAGACACUUCCGCCGAUAGCCCAAGGGUUCCUGUUCAAUGCUAAUCAGAGCAGGGUGAGCCGGCUCCUAAGGCGAGGCCGAAAGGCGUAGUCGAUGGGAAUCACGUUAAUAUUCGUGAGCCUGGCGGUGUGUGACGAAGGCUGGACGUAGUUUCUUCUUAACGGAUUGAAGAAGCUGCCAAGGACUUCCAGGAAAUAGCCCCGCCAUAUAGACCGUACCCCAAACCGACACAGGUGGGCAGGUAGAGUAUACCAAGGCGUUUGAGAGAACUAUGUUGAAGGAACUCGGCAAAUUACAUGCGUAACUUCGGGAUAAGCAUGCCCCAUUGAAAGGCAACUUUUGGUGGGGGACACAAACUAGGGGGUGGCGACUGUUUAUCAAAAACACAGGGCUCUGCGAAUACGGUUAAGUAGACGUAUAGGGUCUGACGCCUGCCCGGUGCUGGAAGGUUAAGUGGAGAUGUGCAAGCAUUGAAAUGAAGCCCCAGUAAACGGCGGCCGUAACUAUAACGGUCCUAAGGUAGCGAAAUUCCUUGUCGGGUAAGUUCCGACCUGCAUGAAUGGCGUAACGAUUUC
rnacentral:rRNA from 1 species